GUCCCGGUAGCUUAGUCGGAGAAAGCGUAUGGCUACGAACCAUAAGAUCGGGGGUUCGAGUCCCUCUCGGGAUA
rnacentral:tRNA from 2 species